UAGGGUUUCGUUUUUGCACUGAAUGUAGCCAGGACGGAUCCUAGUGGGCUUUGGCAGCCCUUGGAAACUGUCAAAGGCAGUAUUUUGCAUUUCUGCAGAGCUUUGCACAGAUCUUGUUCCCAUGCAAACUGAUGAGGGAGAAAUACUGGAGGAAGGCAGUCCCAAGAUGGAACAUGAGGAUUUUGUAAUGGAGGGGCAUGGCAAGACUCCACCUCCUGGUGAAGAAAACAAACAGUGAGUCACAUGUUUAUUUAAAAAGGGCCUUACCAUCGUAGUAAAUGGUGUGAAGCACUCUUGUCUAAAUGUGCU
rnacentral:lncRNA from 1 species